rnacentral:rRNA from 1 species
UACGUAGGGGGCAAGCGUUAUCCGGAUUUACUGGGUGUAAAGGGAGCGUAGACGGCAAUACAAGUCGGAAGUGAAGUACCCGGGCUCAACCUGGGAACUGCUUUGGAAACUGUAUGGCUGGAGUGCUGGAGAGGUAAGCGGAAUUCCUAGUGUAGCGGUGAAAUGCGUAGAUAUUAGGAGGAACACCAGUGGCGAAGGCGGCUUACUGGACAGUAACUGACGUUGAGGCUCGAAAGCGUGGGGAGCAAACAGG